GUAGGAUAAGUGGGAGCUUC
rnacentral:snRNA from 1 species